GACGAACGCUGGCGGCGUGCUUAACACAUGCAAGUCGAACGGAAAGGCCCUGCUUUUGUGGGUUGCUCGAGUGGCGAACGGGGGAGUAACACGUGAGUAACCUGCCCUUGACUUUGGGAUAACUUCAGGAAACUGGGGCUAAUACCGGAUAUGAGCUCCUGCUGCAUGGUGGGGGUUGGAAAGUUUCGGCGGUAUGGGAUGGACUGGCGGGUUAUCCGCUGGUUGGUGGGGUAGUGGCUUACCAAGGCUUUGACGGGUAGCCGGCAUGAGAGGGGGACCGGCCACAAUGGGACUGCGAGACGGACCAGACUCCUAUGGGAGGCAGCAGUGGGGAAUAUUGCACAAUGGGCGGAAGCCAGAUGCAGCAACGCCGCGUGCGGGAUGACGGCCUUCGGGUUGUAAACCGCUUUCGCCUGUGACGAAGAGUGAGUGACGGUAAUGGGUAAAGAAGCACCGGCUAACUACGUG
rnacentral:rRNA from 1 species